rnacentral:rRNA from 1 species
UACAGAGGUCUCAAGCGUUGUUCGGAUUCAUUGGGCGUAAAGGGUGCGUAGGCGGGCAGUUAAGUCAGCGGUGAAAUCCUUGAGCUCAACUCGAGAACUGCCAUUGAUACUAUCUGUCUUGAAUAUUGUGGAGGUAAGCGGAAUAUGUCAUGUAGCGGUGAAAUGCUUAGAUAUGACAUAGAACACCUAUUGCGAAGGCAGCUUACUACGCAUAUAUUUGACGCUGAGGCACGAAAGCGUGGGGAUCAAACAGG